rnacentral:tRNA from 2 species
CCGGGUGUAGCUCAACUGGUAGGGCGCGACAUUUGGGAUGUCGAGGUUGGGUGUUCAAGUCACCUCACUCGGACCA